UACAGAGGGUGCAAGCGUUGCUCGGAAUCAUUGGGCGUAAAGGGCAGGUAGGUGGUCUGAUUUGUCUGGAGGUGAAAGCCUUGGGCUUAACCCAAGAAGUGCCCCGGAAACGGUCAGACUUUGAGUCUUGGAGAGGGUUGCGGAAUUCCCGGUGUAGCGGUGAAAUGCGUAGAGAUCGGGGAGGAACACCAGAGGCGAAGGCGGCAACCUGGACAAGCACUGACACUCAACUGCGAAAAGCGUGGGGGAGCAAACAGG
rnacentral:rRNA from 1 species